rnacentral:tRNA from 1 species
GGCGCCGUCGCCUAGCGGACAUGGCACCGGUCUCAUAAGCCGGUCGCGGUGGUUCGACUCCACCCGGCGCCC